UACGGGAGGCAGCAGUGGGGAAUAUUGCACAAUGGGCGAAAGCCUGAUGCAGCUAUGCCGCGUGUAUGAAGAAGGCCUUAGGGUUGUAAAGUACUUUCAUCGGGGAGGAAAAACAAAACUAAUAAUUUUAUUUCUUGACGUUACCCGAAAAAGAAGCACCGGCUAACUCCGUGCCAGCAGCCGCGGUAAUACGGAGGGUGCUAGCGUUAAUCAGAAUUACUGGGCGUAAAGAGCACGUAGGUGGUUUUUUUAAAGUCAGAUGUGAAAUCCCCUGGGCUUAACCUGGAACUGCAUUUUGAAACUGAAAUACUAGAGUAUCGUAGAGGGAGGUAGAAUUCUAGGUGUAGCGGUGAAAUGCGUAGAUAUCUGGAGGAAUACCUGUGGCGAAAGCGGCCUCCUAAACGAAUACUGACACUGAGGUGCGAAAGCGUGGGGAGCAAACAGGGAUUAGAUACCCGU
rnacentral:rRNA from 1 species